rnacentral:lncRNA from 1 species
CCAUAUUAGGCUCUCCGGGAAGUUCUUUCUUACUGAUGGUGCGAUCUCAACGAGAUUCGUGUCACCACCAGCAUUCCUUCUGCUAUUGCUUUUAGGUGCUUUCGGAAAUACAUCUCUUACUGGUGAUGUGACUUCAACGAGAUCCCGUAUCACUACCAAUACUCCUUCUACGGUUCUGGUGCUUGAGGAAAUUUUAUUUUUACUGGUGAUGCGAUCUCAACAGAUCACGUAUCACCACCAGUACCUUUUCUGGUACCGUUUUCGAAGCCUGAGGGAAUUUGUUUUUCACCGG